rnacentral:rRNA from 1 species
GGUUAAGUGACUAAGCGUACAUGGUGGAUGCCUUGGCAGUCAGAGGCGAUGAAGGACGUACUAACCUGCGAUAAGCUGUGAGAAGUCGGUAAGAGACGCUAUUACUCACAGAUUUCCGAAUGGGGAAACCCACCCGAGAUAACUCGGGUAUCUGUUACUGAAUACAUAGGUAACAGAGGCGAACCGGGAGAACUGAAACAUCUAAGUACCCCGAGGAAAAGAAAUCAACCGAGAUUCCCUCAGUAGCGGCGAGCGAACGGGGAUUAGCCCUUAAGCAUCUUGGAAGUUAGUGGAACGGUCCUGGAAAGGCCGGCGAUACAGGGUGAUAGCCCCGUACACGAAAACAACCUUGAUGUGAAAUCGAGUAGGGCGGGACACGUGACAUCCUGUCUGAAUAUGGGGGGACCAUCCUCCAAGGCUAAAUACUCCUGACUGACCGAUAGUGAACCAGUACCGUGAGGGAAAGGCGAAAAGAACCCCUGUGAGGGGAGUGAAAUAGAACCUGAAACCGUGUACGUACAAGCAGUGGGAGCCCUUCGGGGUGACUGCGUACCUUUUGUAUAAUGGGUCAGCGACUUACAUUUUGUAGCGAGGUUAACCGUAUAGGGGAGCCGUAGGGAAACCGAGUCUUAACUGGGCGUCUAGUUGCAAGGUGUAGACCCGAAACCGGGUGAUCUAGCCAUGGGCAGGUUGAAGGUUGAGUAACAUCAACUGGAGGACCGAACCCACUAACGUUGCAAAGUUAGGGGAUGACCUGUGGCUGGGGGUGAAAGGCCAAUCAAACUCGGAGAUAGCUGGUUCUCCCCGAAAGCUAUUUAGGUAGCGCCUCGGACGAAUACUACUGGGGGUAGAGCACUGUUUGGGCUAGGGGGUCAUCCCGACUUACCAACCCCAUGCAAACUCCGAAUACCAGUAAGUACUAUCCGGGAGACACACGGCGGGUGCUAACGUCCGUCGUGAAGAGGGAAACAACCCAGACCGCCGGCUAAGGUCCCAAAGUUCUGGUUAAGUGGGAAACGAUGUGGGAAGGCUCAGACAGCUAGGAUGUUGGCUUAGAAGCAGCCAUCAUUUAAAGAAAGCGUAAUAGCUCACUAGUCGAGUCGGCCUGCGCGGAAGAUGUAACGGGGCUCAAACCAGGCACCGAAGCCGCGGAUUCACACUUAUGUGUGAGUGGUAGGGGAGCGUUCUGUAAGUCUGCGAAGGUGUAUCGAGAGGUAUGCUGGAGAUAUCAGAAGUGCGAAUGCUGACGUAAGUAACGAUAAAGGGGGUGAAAAGCCUCCUCGCCGGAAGACCAAGGGUUCCUGUCCAACGUUAAUCGGGGCAGGGUGAGUCGACCCCUAAGGCGAGGCCGAAAGGCGUAGUCGAUGGGAAGCAGGUUAAUAUUCCUGCACGACUUGUAAUUGCGAUGGGGGGACGGAGAAGGCUAGGUGGGCCAGGCGACGGUUGUCCUGGUGAAAGUGCGUAGGUGGUGUUUCUAGGCAAAUCCGGAGACACAACACUGAGACACGAGACGAACACACUACGGUGUGGAAGCCAUUGAUGCCCUGCUUCCAGGAAAAGCCUCUAAGCUUCAGAUUACAAGUCAUCGUACCCCAAACCGACACAGGUGGUCGGGUAGAGAAUACCAAGGCGCUUGAGAGAACUCGGGUGAAGGAACUAGGCAAAAUAGAACCGUAACUUCGGGAGAAGGUUCGCUCUUGACAGUGAAGUCCCUUGCGGAUGGAGCAGUUGGGAGUCGCAGUGACCAGAUGGCUGGGACUGUUUAUCAAAAACACAGCACUCUGCAAACACGAAAGUGGACGUAUAGGGUGUGACACCUGCCCGGUGCCGGAAGGUUAAUUGAUGGGGUUAGCGCAAGCGAAGCUCUUGAUCGAAGCCCCGGUAAACGGCGGCCGUAACUAUAACGGUCCUAAGGUAGCGAAAUUCCUUGUCGGGUAAGUUCCGACCUGCACGAAUGGUGUAACCAUGGCCAUGCUGUCUCCACCCGAGACUCAGUGAAAUCGAAUUCGCCGUGAAGAUGCGGUGUACCCGCGGCUAGACGGAAAGACCCCGUGAACCUUUACUACAGCUUGGCACUGAACAUUGAACCUACAUGUGUAGGAUAGGUGGGAGGCUUUGAAGGCGUGACGCCAGUUGCGCUGGAGCCGUCCUUGAAAUACCACCCUUGUAUGUUUGAUGUUCUAACGCAGGGCCCUGAAUCGGGCUCGCGGACAGUGCCUGGUGGGUAGUUUGACUGGGGCGGUCUCCUCCCAAAGAGUAACGGAGGAGCACGAAGGUUGGCUAAUCCUGGUCGGACAUCAGGAGGUUAGUGCAAUGGCAUAAGCCAGCUUAACUGCGAGACGGACAGGUCGAGCAGGUACGAAAGUAGGUCAUAGUGAUCCGGUGGUUCUGAAUGGAAGGGCCAUCGCUCAACGGAUAAAAGGUACUCCGGGGAUAACAGGCUGAUACCGCCCAAGAGUUCAUAUCGACGGCGGUGUUUGGCACCUCGAUGUCGGCUCAUCACAUCCUGGGGCUGAAGUCGGUCCCAAGGGUAUGGCUGUUCGCCAUUUAAAGUGGUACGCGAGCUGGGUUCAGAACGUCGUGAGACAGUUCGGUCCCUAUCUGCCGUGGGCGUUGGAUGAUUGAAGGGAGUUGCUCCUAGUACGAGAGGACCGGAGUGAACGAACCUCUGGUGUUCGGGUUGUCACGCCAGUGGCACUGCCCGGUAGCUAAGUUCGGAAUCGAUAACCGCUGAAAGCAUCUAAGCGGGAAGCGAGCCCUGAGAUGAGUCAUCCCUGACCCCUUGAGGGUCCUAAAGGGCCGUUGGAGACCACAACGUUGAUAGGCGGGGUGUGUAAGUGCAGCGAUGCAUUGAGCUAACCCGUACUAAUUACCCGUGAGGCUUAACCAU